CUACAUCUUUCCACUGGUCUUCCCACCUGUGAUAUUUAUUUUCUGCCACCUACAUUAGCAGAGAUGUUGUAAGAAUUCAUUGGUCAAUGUUUUUAGAGCAUAAUUAUCUCAUUGCCCAAUCCCUGAGUCAUUUGGUCUCCUCAUUGUUUACUCUUUUUUUUCUAGGCCUUUCUGGGAUUCCUAUCCAGGAGUUUGGCAGCAAGGAUGAAACUGAAUUUGCCACUUGGAGUUUGAGGUCUCACCUAGGCCAGAUGUCUUCUUGGUCCCUAAUUGGUGUUCUCCUUUCCCAGGCAAGGAAACCAAGUCCAAGUGUCUCAGAUUAACCACAUUUUUAAUUAGAAAAGACUGCCCCGUUGUCAGUGAUCACAUUUCAAAGCCUUCCAAGAACCCUGGUCUAAGUGGUGAGGCACAAGUCACGUUCUCCUGAUACCGAGGACAACAGGGCCUGCUCAACUCCUGCUCGUUGUUGUCCAAUCCCGAGACCCCAGUCCCAGGAGGCCAAACCAAGGAGUCUGCCUUGCACCAUGGAACCCUUGGGUAUUCAUUAAGAACACCAGGUGAGCAGCCAAUUUAAGCCCUGGCUCAGGAUCGAGCCACAUGUCCAUUAGGACGAAGUGGAGGCCAUCACAUUCACAUCACUGGAGACCUCAUUAGGAGGUGAACUCUGUUCUCUGGCUCCUCCCCAGAGAGUUCAACACAGCAGGAGGGGGAGGGGGACCAAGAGCAGCCAGAAUCCAGUAGCAAAAGUCUGGAAAACAAAUACAUUAAAGCAACUAAAACAUGGAGAUAGAAAAAAAGGCCAUAGUUUAGAUGAUUUGCUUUCACUUAGAGGCCAAAGAUGGUUGAGGAUUUGCUCCUCCCCAGCAGUCUCUCCUGUCCCCAUACAUUUUCUCAGUGAUUUAAGAAAGUCAUUUGCCCCAUCCCCUACCUCCUUUUAAAGUGAAAUUCCAUCCUUGAGGGAGUUUUGGAAGUAAAAAGUUAGAUUUUCUCUGUUCUGUUUCCUGAAAUUCCAUUGUCCAUGUGGUGGGGUCAAGUAGGGUCCUACAGGGAGAAAGAUGUCUCCUACCCGCCCAAAUUCUCCACCUCCUCUAAAUCCCUUGGGGACUCUAUAAGGGAGGAGGUGGUUCUGAUUAUUUGCUCCUCCAAGACACUGCAAGGGAAAAUAAACCCAGCUAAAGGGACUGUUGGGGUACAGUAAGAGAAACCACACAUUCCUCCUCAGUUCUGGAAUUCAAGACACUUUACUUCUAAACCUCUUUCUCUCUUCACUUGCUCUGGUUCUACUCCAAUAACACCAUCAUGGAAAUUGCACUGCCAGGUGACUAAAGCAAGAAAGGGCAAGGGGAAUCCUGGUUCCCAAGUUCAUUUCUAACUCUGAGUGAGGUGCUGGUUGAAGUUAGAAAAGUCGUAUGGGUGUCCUGGGCCUCAGUUCCUCCCAUCUGUAAGUAGGGAAUUUUGUUUGGGUAGCACUGUCAGAAACCUAUAAGGCUGAAUGACCCCAGGUUACAAGUUCUGUUAUGAUUUAUGUCCUACUGUUUGGGUAAUGUUGUCUGUCUAAAUUGGCUCAUUCUUAGCCUCAUUCUCCUUUUCCUAUUUCCUGACUCUCUGAUCUUCAAGGCAUUGUAUUUUUUGUCUAUUUCUCUUUAAUCUUCUUGCCAACACCAGUCUUUCCCAAUUUCUCCUAUUAUAUUUAUUUCCCUCUAAUUCCACUUCCUCCAUUUCCCUCCAUUAAUAUAUCUGAAGUUUCAGGGGUUUUCCUCCCCCUCUUUCCACUGAGGGCAUGUGCCUCUUCAUUGGACAUGUCUCAACCUGUCCGCAGGCUCAGAUUAAUCCCCUAUGACCCCAAAGGCGACAGCUGAGGUCAGAAAUCGUCAGGGAGGAAAGACAGGAGGAGAAGGAGAGGAGGAGAAGGAGAAGGAGGAGGAGGAGAGAAAGAAGAGCAGAAAGAGGAAGAAUAGAUUUUUCCUGCAACACUCCAAAUGGGAAUAACAGAGGGCUAUGCCAAUUUCUUUUUCGUGUGUGAAUAUUGCUGGCAUGAGUCCAAAAUCUUGCUUUAUCCAGAACAAGCUGCAGUGUCCCAGGAUUUUUUUUUUCCUAACUCCAAGCACUCCAAAGGGAGGUAGUAUUUGGGAUCUGUGACCCCUGAGGGGAAAUAAUCAGGCAGCUCUGGUGUUUAGGGGUGUAACCCUCCUAUUCCCCAGAAUGCCACAGCAGCCGGUUACCUUGCCAACUGCCAGAGUGUUUGAG
rnacentral:lncRNA from 1 species